AUUGAACGCUGGCGGCAUGCCUUACACAUGCAAGUCGAACGGCAGCACGGACUUCGGUCUGGUGGCGAGUGGCGAACGGGUGAGUAAUGUAUCGGAACGUACCUUUCAGUGGGGGAUAACGUAGCGAAAGUUACGCUAAUACCGCAUAUUCUGUGAGCAGGAAAGCAGGGGAUCGCAAGACCUUGCGCUGAUUGAGCGGCCGAUAUCAGAUUAGCUAGUUGGUGGGGUAAAGGCCUACCAAGGCUACGAUCUGUAGCGGGUCUGAGAGGAUGAUCGCCACACUGGAACUGAGACACGGUCCAGACUCCUACGGGAGGCAGCAGUGGGGAAUUUUGGACAAUGGGGGCAACCCUGAUCCAGCCAUGCCGCGUGAGUGAAGAAGGCCUCGG
rnacentral:rRNA from 1 species